rnacentral:rRNA from 1 species
AGUGAACGCUGGCGGUAGGCCUAACACAUGCAAGUCGAACGGCAGCACAGUAAGAGCUUGCUCUUACGGGUGGCGAGUGGCGGACGGGUGAGGAAUACAUCGGAAUCUACUUUUUCGUGGGGGAUAACGUAGGUAAAGUUACGCUAAGACCGCAUACGACCUACGGGGGAAAGCAGUGGAUCUUCGGACCUUGCGCGAUUGAAUGAGGCGAUGUCGGAUUGGCUAGUUGGCGGGGUAAAUGCCCACCAAGUGACCGAUCCGUAGCUGGUCUGAAGGGAUGAUCAGCCACACUGGAACUGAGACACGCUCCCUACUCCUACGGAGGCCAGCAGUGGGGAAUAUUGGGCAAUGGGCGAAAGCCUGAUCCAGCCAUACCGCGUGGGUGAAGAAGGCCUUCGGGUUGUAAAGCCCUUUUGUUGGGAAAGAAAAGCAGCAGGUUAAUACCCCGCUGUUCUGACGGUACCCAAAGAAUAAGCAACGGCUAACUUCGUG